rnacentral:rRNA from 1 species
UACAGAGGGUGCGAGCGUUGUUCGGAAUUAUUGGGCGUAAAGGGCGCGUAGGCGGUGCGGUAAGUCACCUGUGAAAUCUCCUGGCUCAACUGGGAGCUUGCAGGCGAAACUGCCGUGCUGGAGUGUGGGAGAGGUGAGUGGAAUUCCCGGUGUAGCGGUGAAAUGCGUAGAUAUCAGGAGGAACACCCAUGGCGAAGGCAGCAAACUGGUCCGUAUCUGACGCUGGAGGCGACGGAAAGCGUGGGUAGCAAACAGG